CGGGCUCCGUCGCUCGCGCGAGCGAGCGGCGGGGGUCCGGCAGGCCUCCGCCCGCGGCGCCUAAUCCGAAGACGUCGUUCGGUGGGGAGUUUGGCUGGGGCGGCACAUCCGUUAAAAGGCAACGCGGGUGUCCAAAGGGGAGCUCGGCGAGAAGGGAAAUCUCGCGUCGAACGAAAGGGUAAAAGCUCCCUUGAUUCCGAUCUUCAGUACUGAUACGAACCUCGAAAGAGUGGCCUAGCGAUCCUUUGGUCGUUCGCGACCUGAAGCCAGAGGUGUCAGAAAAGUUACCAAAGGGAUAACUGGCUUGUGGCGGCCAAGCGUUCUUAGCGACGUCGCUUUUUGAUCCUUCGAUGUCGGCUCUUCCUAUCAUUGUGAAGCAGAAUUCACCAAGUGUUGGAUUGUUCACCCUUCG
rnacentral:rRNA from 1 species